rnacentral:rRNA from 1 species
GACGUAGGGGACGAGCGUUGUCCGGAUUCAUUGGGCGUAAAGCGCGCGUAGGCGGCCGCGCAAGUCGGAUGUGAAAUCCCGGAGCUCAACUCCGGAACUGCAUUCGAAACUGCGCGGCUCGAGGUAGGUAGGGGAGAUCGGAAUUCCUGGUGUAGCGGUGGAAUGCGCAGAUAUCAGGAGGAACACCGGUGGCGAAGGCGGAUCUCUGGGCCUUACCUGACGCUGAUGUGCGAAAGCUAGGGGAGCGAACAGG